CAGAGAAAAAGAUUGGUAAAGUGAAAAUGUUCUUUGUUUCGGAAAGGAUCGUCUCCUAUGGGAUCCAGAAUUUUACGAACCUGAAGAAAUACCACAUCGAAUGUUAGCAACACAUAGCCGUUACAUUUACGAAAUGCUUCAUGUAUGGAAAUGGGAACCUCAUUGCAGUAGGAAUAACAGGGCUCCAUCUAUGCCACGUCUCCACCCACCAUGUCAGAGAAUGAUCUUCUGGCAUUCAACUAAGCGGGUCUAGUAAAGACUCACUAAAUGGAAUGCUGAGGGUGUGCCCAGUCGUCGCUGGUACACAUCGAUUCGCGAGGAGUAAGAAGAAGGAGAUGGAACUGAGUUGAACCAAAGUAGCAGGGCUCCCACUCUUGUGUUUCUUUCAUCAUCCUGCUGAGGGCCAUAUUCCUUCUUACAUGAAUCAUGUGGAAAGCUUGAUCAUUCUGGCAUUGCUACUGGCAUCCAGGAAAAAGAGGUAACUUACCAUCUGUUAUUUGUAAUGUAGCUCUACUGUAUUACUGCAAAUCUUUUCCUCUGCCAGCAGAGGAGCAGCCAGGUUUGGCUUUUUCUUUUGCCUUUGCUACUGGAGCUCCUGUAUUAGCCUAUAGCAGUUGGGCUGAAAUCUCUGCCUAAAAGUUGCUCAACGCACUUUCCACUGUAACGUGUCCUCUGCCAAAUUUCUGAAGAAUGGGAGUGUCUUUCACUGAAGAGAUGUGAAACUCAAGCCUUACAAUUUAGAAACACGGAUUCACAAAGUACAAAUAUUAGAUGAACAAAGUUUAGACAAAAACACCAAUUUAAACUAGAAUAAGAAACUUAAACACACUGAAACUAUAGAAAACAUUACUGUCUCCAUGUCACCUAGUAAUUUGAAUUUGGCUGUAUCUCACUGACCAAACUCCUGAUGAGGACACAUGCGGACAAAAUGAGAGAGGUUCCCAUAAUACGCUUUCCAAAAUGGCUAAGAAAAUUCAAUUACAUUUAGUUAAUUUUUCUAGACUUCAUUAAUUAACCUUGUAAAUUUCUCUAGCUUUCCUCUCAGCUCCACUAACCCAUUUGCCUCACUAUUCCCUCCUCACAUACUUGCUUCACUGGCCCAUCUCCCACACAAUUUAUUCUCACAUUAUCUGAUACCUCCUUUGUUUCUUGCUCCUUUCCUUCUUUAUAUCACCUAAAUUCUAAGGCCAGGCUUCUUGAAAAAUUUUGUUCCCACAAGCACUGAGUGUUUGAGUGUUUUUUUUCCUCCCAAUAUCUUUCCAAAUUAAACAAUUCAAUUUUGGAAAAGCCAGUAAGAGGCAAAGAACCAACAAACCUAUUAGUGGGAAACAUGGAUCUCACACAGCCCAGGACAAGACUGGAGGGGUAAAGAAAAUUCUUCCAUUUCCCACAACACAUCCUCGGAGUCUAGUAAUUUAUCUCAGUCCUUACUAUUCUUUUAACAAACCACUUCUUUGCAUUUAAUAAGGACCUUUAAGGGAUAUUCAUUCACAUCUCUGCAAAUGGCCAUUGGCCCACUUGGCUACCGUGUGUCUGCUCCCAUCACUGUUUUAGAAGAACUGUGCUUUUUAAAAGACACUCAACUCUUUUAUUUUGCAUAAAUCAGCGGCAUCUCAAAACCUAUCACAGAGAUCUCUGGGAAGGAAGUGCAAGAGCCAGCCAGCCACCUUGAGAUUUGAGCCAUAGUGCCUUGCAGUUCUCAUUCACCUCUCCGAGGCCUCACCCACAAC